GAUGAACGCUGGCGGCGUGCUUAACACAUGCAAGUCGAACGGAAAGGCUCCUGCUUGCAGGGGUACUCGAGUGGCGAACGGGUGAGUAACACGUGGGUGAUCUGCCCUGCACUUCGGGAUAAGCCUGGGAAACUGGGUCUAAUACCGGAUAGGACCACAUUUUGGAUGGUGUGGUGGAAAGUUUUUCGGUGGGGGAUGAGCUCGCGGCCUAUCAGCUUGUUGGUGGGGUAAUGGCCUACCAAGGCGUCGACGGGUAGCCGGCCUGAGAGGGUGUACGGCCACAUUGGGACUGAGAUACGGCCCAGACUCCUACGGGAGGCAGCAGUGGGGAAUAUUGCACAAUGGGCGCAAGCCUGAUGCAGCGACGCCGCGUGGGGGAUGACGGCCUUCGGGUUGUAAACUCCUUUCGCUAGGGACGAAGCGCAAGUGACGGUACCUGGAGAAGAAGCACCGGCUAACUACGUG
rnacentral:rRNA from 1 species